rnacentral:rRNA from 1 species
AACGAACGCUGGCGGCAUGCCUAAUACAUGCAAGUCGAACGGACCCUUCGGGGUUAGUGGCGGACGGGUGAGUAACACGUGGGAACGUGCCUUUAGGUUCGGAACAACACAGGGAAACUUGUGCUAAUACCGGAUGUGCCCUUCGGGGGAAAGAUUUAUCGCCUUUAGAGCGGCCCGCGUCUGAUUAGCUAGUUGGUGGGGUAAAGGCCUACCAAGGCGACGAUCAGUAGCUGGUCUGAGAGGAUGGCCAGCCACAUUGGGACUGAGACACGGCCCAAACUCCUACGGGAGGCAGCAGUGGGGAAUCUUGCGCAAUGGGCGAAAGCCUGACGCAGCCAUGCCGCGUGGAUGAUGAAGGUCUUAGGAUUGUAAAAUCCUUUCACCGGGGACGAUAAUGACGGUACCCGGAGAAGAAGCCCCGGCUAACUUCGUGCCAGCCGCCGCAGUAA